rnacentral:misc_RNA from 1 species
GAUGAAGAACGUAGCGAAAUGCGAUAAGUAAUGUGAAUUGCAGAAUUCAGUGAAUCAUCGAAUCUUUGAACGCACCUUGCGCCCUUUGGCCAUUCCGAAGGGCAUGCCUGUUUGAGUAUCAUGAACACCUCAACUCUCAUGGCUCGCCAUGAUGAGCUUGGACUUUGGGGGUCUUGCUGGCCUGUGGUCGGCUCCUCUCAAAUGGAUCAGCUUGCCAGUGUUGGGUGGCAUCACAGGUGUGAUAACUAUCUGCGCUUGUGGUUUUCCAUCAGAUAACCUUCAGUGAUGGAGGUUCGCUGGAGCUCAUAAACGUCUCCCCUAAGCGGGGACAGCCCUUUGAAUGUUUGAUCUCAAAUCAGGUAGGACUACCCGCUGAACUUAAGCAUAUCAAUAAGCGGAGGA